rnacentral:rRNA from 1 species
CCCACAUAUGACCUGGCUCAGGUCGUAACAGGUAGCCGUAGAGUUUGAUCCUGGCUCAGGUCGUAACAAGGUAGCCGCCGAGUUUGAUCCUGGCUCAGGUCGUAACCAGGGGGCCCUAAAAUUUGAUCCUGCUCCAGGUCGCAUGGUCUUGGGCGGAAAGCUCCAGCCGUGCGGGAUGGGCCCGCGGCCUAUCGCCUUGUUGGUGAGGUAACGGCUCACCAAGGCGACGACGGGUAGCCGGCCUGAGAGGGCGACCGGCCACACUGGGACUGACACACGGCCCACACUCCUACGGGAGGCAGCAGUGGGGAAUAUUGCACAAUGGGCGCACGCCUGAUGCAGCGACGCCGCGUGAGGGAUGAAGGCCUUCGGGUUGUAGACCUCUUUCGGCCGGGAAUAACCUCUUGAGUGACGGUGGCUGCAGAAGAAGCGCCGGCUAACUUCAUUCCCCCCGCCGCGGGAAUACAUAGGGCCCGAGCGUUCUCCGUAAUUUCUGGCCAUAAAGAGGUCGCAGGGGUGUCCCUCGUCGGCGCCGGGAAAAGGAAAGUAGCUCCGCGCUUGCUUUUCAGCGGGCCGGCAGG